AUGGACCAAUCCAUCCCUUUUUCCCGUUCAUAUGCAUCGGACUCGGAUGACGAUGGUCCUGAUGAAGAAGUUGAUGAGGAGGGGUUCACGACGAAGGAGGCCGAAGCAUUUAAGAAGGUAUUCUGGAGGGAUCACAAGACACCAUUGUACAAGGAUCUUAGUCUCGCCAAUGAGGCCGUUGUAGAUGGUGGCAAAUGUGUAUCUCUUGGAGCUAGGCCAAGUUCUCACAGUGAUUUGGAAGACGACAAGAACGGGAUAUAUCCCGGUUGUGAGUUUGGAUCCUUCUUGGAAUUUAAGAUGUGGCUCGACAACUACUCGGUUAUGCAUUAUCGUCCACAUAGUGGCCAACUCGGACGUCAAUGUGCGUUACAUGGUUAA
rnacentral:rRNA from 1 species